rnacentral:rRNA from 1 species
GGAAUCUUGGACAAUGGGCGAAACCCUGAUCCAGCGACGCCGCGUGGGUGAAGAAGGCCUGCGGGUUGUAAAGCCCUUUCGGUGGGGAAGAAAAGCCUCUACCUAAUACGUCGGGGUCUUGACGUAACCCACAAAAGAAGCACCGGCUACCUAUGUGCCAGCAGCCACGGUAAUACAGAGGGUGCGAGCGUUAAUCGGAAUUACUGAGCGUAAAGCGCACGUAGGCGGCUCUGCAAGUCGGGUGUGAAAUCCCCGGGCUCAACCUGGGAACUGCAUUCGAUACUGCAUUGCUGGAGUAUGGGAGAGGGAAGUGGAAUUUCCGGUGUAGCGGUGAAAUGCGUAGAUAUCGGAAGGAACACCAGUGGCGAAAGCGACUUCCUGGACCAAUACUGACGCUCAGGUGCGAAAGCGUGGGGAGC